rnacentral:rRNA from 1 species
AGCGAACGCUGGCGGUAGGCCUAACACAUGCAAGUCGAACGGCAGCACAGUAAGAGCUUGCUCUUACGGGUGGCGAGUGGCGGACGGGUGAGGAAUAUAUCGGAAUCUACUUUUUCGUGGGGGAUAACGUAGGGAAACUUACGCUAAUACCGCAAACGACCUACGGGUGAAAGCAGGGGAUCUUCGGACCUUGCGCGAUUGAAUGAGCCGAUGCCGGAUUAGCUAGUUGGCGGGGUAAAGUCCCACCAAGGCGACGAUCCGUAGCUGGUCUGAGAGGAUGAUCAGCCACACUGUAACUGAGACACGGUCCAGACUCCUACGAGAGGCAGCAGUGGGGAAUAUUGGACAAUGGAGGCAAGCCUGAUCCAGCCAUACCGCGUGGGUGAAGAAGGCCUUCGGGUUGUAAAGCCCUUUUGUUGGUAGAGAAAAGCAGCAGGUUGAUACCCCGCUGUUCUGACGGUACCCAAAGAAUAAGCACCGGCUAACUUCGUG